GACGAACGCUGGCGGCGUGCUUAACACAUGCAAGUUGAACGGUAUGACAUGGAAGCUUGCUGAAGUGUCAUAUAGUAGCGGACGGGUGAGUAAUGCAUGAGAAGCUGCCAUUGGGAGGGGGACAACAGUUGGAAACGGCUGCUAAUACCCCGUAUGCCGGAAGGUGAAAGGGAGCGAUCCGCCCGAUGAGGUGCUCAUGUCCUAUCAGCUGGUUGGUGGGGUAACGGCCCACCAAGGCAACGAUGGAUAGGGGAACUGAGAGGUUUAUCCCCCACACUGGUACUGAGACACGGACCAGACUCCUACGGGAGGCAGCAGUGAGGAAUAUUGGUCAAUGGACGCAAGUCUGAACCAGCCACGUCGCGUGAAGGAAGACGGCCCUACGGGUUGUAAACUUCUUUUAUACGGGGAAUAAAGUGCCCCACGCGUGGGGUUUUGCAUGUUACCGUAUGAAUAAGGAUCGGCUAACUCCGUGCCAGCAGCCGCGGUAAAUC
rnacentral:rRNA from 1 species